CCGACGGUGAGGGAUGAAGGCCUCUGGGCUGUAAACCUCUUUUAUCAAGGAAGAAGAUCUGACGGUACUUGAUGAAUAAGCCACGGCUAAUUCCGUGCCAGCAGCCGCGGUAAUACGGGAGUGGCAAGCGUUAUCCGGAAUUAUUGGGCGUAAAGCGUCCGCAGGCGGCCCAACAAGUCUGCUGUUAAAAAGUGGAGCUUAACUCCAUCAUGGCAGUGGAAACUGUUGGGCUAGAGUGUGGUAGGGGCAGAGGGAAUUCCCGGUGUAGCGGUGAAAUGCGUAGAUAUCGGGAAGAACACCAGUGGCGAAGGCGCUCUGCUGGGCCAUCACUGACGCUCAUGGACGAAAGCCAGGGGAGCGAAAGGGAUUAGAUACCCCUGUAGUCCUGGCCGUAAACGAUGAACACUAGGUGUCGGGGGAAUCGACCCCUCCGGUGUCGUAGCCAACGCGUUAAGUGUUCCGCCUGGGGAGUACGCACGCAAGUGUGAAACUCAAAGGAAUUGACGGGGGCCCGCACAAGCGGUGGAGUAUGUGGUUUAAUUCGAUGCAACGCGAAGAACCUUACCAGGGUUUGACAUCCUGCGAAUCUCUUGGAAACUUGAGAGUGCCUUCGGGAGCGCAGUGACAGGUGGUGCAUGGCUGUCGUCAGCUCGUGUCGUGAGAUGUUGGGUUAAGUCCCGCAACGAGCGCAACCCACGUCUUUAGUUGCCAGCAUUUAGUUGGGCACUCUAGAGAGACCGCCGGUGAUAAACCGGAGGAAGGUGUGGAUGACGUCAAGUCAUCAUGCCCCUUACAUCCUGGGCUACACACGUACUACAAUGCUACGGACAAAGGGCAGCAAGUUCGCGAGGACAAGCAAAUCCCAUAAACCGUAGCUCAGUUCAGAUCGUAGCUGCAACUCGCCUACGUGAAGGAGGAAUCGCUAGUAAUCGCAGUCAGCAUACUGCGGUGAAUACGUUCCCGGGCUUGCACUCACGCCCGUAGGC
rnacentral:rRNA from 1 species